GACGAACGCUGGCGGCGUGCUUAACACAUGCAAGUCGAACGGAAAGGCCCUGCUUUUGUGGGGUGCUCGAGUGGCGAACGGGUGAGUAACACGUGAGUAACCUGCCCUUGACUUUGGGAUAACUUCAGGAAACUGGGGCUAAUACCGGAUAGGAGCUCCUGCUGCAUGGUGGGGGUUGGAAAGUUUCGGCGGUUGGGGAUGGACUCGCGGCUUAUCAGCUUGUUGGUGGGGUAGUGGCUUACCAAGGCUUUGACGGGUAGCCGGCCUGAGAGGGUGACCGGCCACAUUGGGACUGGGAUGCGGCCCAGACUCCUACGGGAGGCAGCAGUGGGGAAUAUUGCACUACGGGCGGAAGCCUGAUGCAGCGACGCCGCGUGCGGGAUGACGGCCUUCGGGUUGUAAACCGCUUUCGCCUGUGACGAAGCGUGAGUGACGGUAAUGGGUAAAGAAGCACCGGCUAACUACGUG
rnacentral:rRNA from 1 species